rnacentral:rRNA from 1 species
UACGGAGGGUGCAAACGUUGCUCGGAAUCAUUGGGCGUAAAGCGCACGUAGGCGGUCUGUUAAGUCGGAUGUGAAAGCCCUCGGCUCAACCGAGGAAGUGCAUACGAAACUGGCGGACUUGAAUAUGGAAGAGGGUCGCGGAAUUCCCGGUGUAGAGGUGAAAUUCGUAGAUAUUCGCAAGAACACCAGUGGCGAAGGCGGCUCACUGGCCCGGUACUGACGCUGAGGUGCGAAAGCGUGGGGAGCAAACAGG